AAAAUUAUAGUAAAAGGAAAAUCCGUUGAUUUCAAAAAAUCGUGAGGGUUCAAGUCCCUCUAUCCCCACCCCA
rnacentral:tRNA from 1 species